UACGGGUAGUGCGAGUGUUAUUCCACGUGAUUGGGCGUAAAGGGUGCGAGGGCUGUCUAGCAAGAUUUAGGUAAAGAGGUACGAAAUGUGCAGAUGCCUAUUAAAACUACUAGACUGGAGUAUAUUAGAAGAUAGCGGAACCGUUAGGAUUAGAGUUAAAAUACGUUAUAAAAACUAACGAGAACACCAGAGGCGAAGGCGGCUGUCUAUUUUAUAACUGACGCUUAGGCACGAAGCAUGGGUAUCGAAUGGG
rnacentral:rRNA from 1 species